rnacentral:rRNA from 1 species
UACGGAGGGAGCUAGCGUUGUUCGGAAUUACUGGGCGUAAAGCGCACGUAGGCGGCUAUUCAAGUCGGGGGUGAAAGCCCGGGGCUCAACCCCGGAACUGCCCUCGAAACUAGAUAGCUAGAAUCUUGGAGAGGUCAGUGGAAUUCCGAGUGUAGAGGUGAAAUUCGUAGAUAUUGGGAAGAACACCGGUGGCGAAGGCGGCUCACUGGCUCGUAACUGACGCUGAGGUGCGAAAGCGUGGGGAGCAAACAGG